rnacentral:rRNA from 1 species
CACGUAGGGGCGAGCGUUGUCCGGAAUUACUGGGCGUAAAGGGCGCGCAGGCUGUUAUGCGAGUCUGCUGUGAAAUGUACCGGCUCAACCGGUGCCUUGCGGCGGAUACUGCAUAGCUGGAGUACUGGAGAGGGAAGUGGGAUUCCCGGUGUAGCGGUGAAAUGCGUAGAUAUCGGGAGGAACACCGGUGGCGAAGGCGGCUUUCUGGCCAGUUACUGACGCUCAUGCGCGAAAGCUGGGGUAGCGAACCGGAUUAGAUACCCCU